rnacentral:rRNA from 1 species
AUUGAACGCUGGCGGCAGGCCUAACACAUGAAGUCGAGCGGAUGAAGGGAGCUUGCUCCUGGAUUCAGCGGCGGACGGGUGAGUAAUGCCUAGGAAUCUGCCUGGUAGUGGGGGAUAACGUCCGGAAACGGGCGCUAAUACCGCAUACGUCCUGAGGGAGAAAGUGGGGGAUCUUCGGACCUCACGCUCUCAGAUGAGCCUAGGUCGGAUUAGCUAGUUGGUGGGGUAAAGGCCUACCAAGGCGACGAUCCGUAACCGGUCUGAGAGGAUGAUCAGUCACACUGGAACUGAGACACGGUCCAGACUCCUACGGGAGGCAGCAGUGGGGAAUAUUGGACAAUGGGCGAAAACCUGAUCCAGCCAUGCCGCGUGUGUGAAGAAGGUCUUCGGAUUGUAAAGCACUUUAAGUUGGGAGGAAGGGCAGUAAGUUAAUACCUUGCUGUUUUGACGUUACCAACAGAAUAAGCACCGGCUAACUUCGUG